rnacentral:rRNA from 1 species
GGCUCAGGAUGAACGCUAGCUACAGGCUUAACACAUGCAAGUCGAGGGGCAGCAUGAGAUUAGCUUGCUAAUCUUGAUGGCGACCGGCGCACGGGUGAGUAACGCGUAUCCAACCUUCCCCCUACUCAGGCAUAGCCCGGUGAAAACCGGAUUAACUCCUGAUAGUUUCACUAGAUGGCAUCUGACGGUGAAUAAAGCUCAGCGGUAAGGGAUGGGGAUGCGUCUGAUUAGCUUGUUGGCGGGGUAACGGCCCACCAAGGCUACGAUCAGUAGGGGUUCUGAGAGGAAGGUCCCCCACAUUGGAACUGAGACACGGUCCAAACUCCUACGGGAGGCAGCAGUGAGGAAUAUUGGUCAAUGGGCGCGAGCCUGAACCAGCCAAGUAGCGUGCCAGGAAGACGGCCCUAUGGGUUGUAAACUGCUUUUGUGCGGGAAUAAAGUCAGGGACGUGUCCCUGUUUGCAUGUACCGCAAGAAUAAGGACCGGCUAAUUCCGUGCCAGCCGCAGC